AGGAAGACACGGAGGAAAAUAAAUACUCUCUCCUGAAUAUAUCCACAGGGCUGUAUGUUUUAGUUUAUGUUAAUGAUUAGACAACAGUUAGUCAUGUUUGUCAGAUUCCAUAGUCAUAAACAGAACAGUUAUCAGUGGAGUGUGUUAAAGGUGUGAAGAUGAAACACAGAUGGCACCUGGAACAAAGACCAAGGCCACAUGUGCUAAUGACCAUCCAGCAGUGGAACAGAGGCCACCUGAUGCUUUCAUCCUUCUACCUACACUGCCAUCGCUCCAUCCUGCUCCAGUUGUUCAUUUAUCAGUUGCAGAUGAUGAAGUCACAUCUGGAAGUUGGAUGAUGAGCAUUCAAAGCCAU